UGUGACCUCAAAUCAGGUAGGACUACCCGCUGAACUUAAGCAUAUCAAUAAGCGGAGGAAAAGAAACUAACAAGGAUUCCCCUAGUAACUGCGAGUGAAGCGGGAAAAGCUCAAAUUUAAAAUCUGGCGGUCUUUUGGCUGUCCGAGUUGUAAUCUAGAGAAGUGUUAUCCGCGCUGGACCGUGUACAAGUCUCCUGGAAUGGAGCAUCAUAGAGGGUGAGAAUCCCGUCUUUGACAUGGACUGCCAGGCUUUGUGAUGCGCUCUCAAAGAGUCGAGUUGUUUGGGAUGCAGCUCAAAAUGGUGGUAAAUUCCAUCUAAAGCUAAAUAUUGUCGAGAGACGAUAGCGAACAAGUACCGUGAUGGAAAGAUGAAAAGAAGAUUGGAAAGAGAGUAGAACAGCAUGUGAAAUAGUUGAAAGGGAAACGCUUGAAGUCAGUCGCGUUGUCCAGCGAUCAUCCACCUUUUUUCUUGGUGCACUUUUUGGUUGUUCGGGUCAGCAUCAACAUUGAGCGUUGGAAAAAGGCCAAGGGAAUGAGGCAUCUUCUGAUGAGUUAUAGCCGUCCGUCACAUCCAAUCGUUGGGAGCGAGGAACUCAGCACCCCGCAAGGCCGGGUUUUUUUUAACCACGUACGUGCUUAGGAUGCUGGCAAUAUGGCUUUAAUCGACCCGUCUUGAAACACGGACCAAGGAGUCUAACAUGCCUGCGAGUGUUUGGGUGGAAAACCCGAGCGCGUAAUGAAAGUGAAAAGUUGAGAUCCCUGUCGUGGGGAGCAUCGACGCCCGGACCAGACCUUUUGUGACGGUUCCGCGGUAGAGCAUGUAUGUUGGGACCCGAAAGAUGGUGAACUAUGCCUGAAUAGGGUGAAUCCAGAGGAAACUCUGGUGGAGGCUCGUAGCGAUUCUGACGUGCAAAUCGAUCGUCAAAUUUGGGUAUAGG
rnacentral:rRNA from 1 species